GACCGUGUGCCCGAGUGGUUGAGGGCUCGCCUGCAAAGCGAGUUACGUCGGUUCGAUUCCGAUCACGGUCUCCA
rnacentral:tRNA from 1 species